rnacentral:tRNA from 1 species
GUCCGGUUAGUCUAGUGGUUAAGACACCGCCCUUUCACGGCGGUAACAGGGGUUCAAAUCCCCUACCGGAUG